rnacentral:rRNA from 1 species
UAGGAAUCUCCACAAUGGACGCAAGUCUGAUGGAGCAACGCCGCGUGAGUGAAGAAGGUUUUCGGAUCGUAAAGCUCUGUUGUUGGUGAAGAAGGAUAGAGGUAGUAACUGGCCUUUAUUUGACGGUAAUCAACCAGAAAGUCACGGCUAACUACGUGCCAGCAGCCGCGGUAAUCGUAGGUGGCAAGCGUUGUCCGGAUUUAUUGGGCGUAAAGCGAGCGCAGGCGGAAGAAUAAGUCUGAUGUGAAAGCCCUCGGCUUAACCGAGGAAUUGCAUCGGAAACUGUUUUCUUGAGUGCAGAAGAGGAGAGUGGAACUCCAUGUGUAGCGGUGGAAUGCGUAGAUAUAUGGAAGAACACCAGUGGCGAAGGCGGCUCUCUGGUCUGCAACUGACGCUGAGGCUCGAAAGCAUGGGUAGCGAACAGGAUUAGAUACCCUGGUA